rnacentral:tRNA from 1 species
GGAGAGGUGGCUGAGUGGUCGAAAGCGGCAGAUUGCUAAUCUGUUGUAUAUCUUUCUAUAUACCGAGGGUUCGAAUCCCUUCCUCUCCU